rnacentral:rRNA from 1 species
CCCCGCAAGGGGAGCGGCAGACGGGAGAGUAACACGUGGGAACGUACCCUUCAGUUCGGAACAACCAAGGGAAACUUUGGCUAAUACCGGAUACGUCCGUAAGGAGAAAGAUUUAUCGCUGAAGGAUCGGCCCGCGUCUGAUUAGCUAGUUGGUGAGGUAACGGCUCACCAAGGCGACGAUCAGUAGCUGGUCUGAGAGGAUGAUCAGCCUCAUUGGGACUGAGACACGGCCCAA